AACGAACGCUGGCGGCGUGGAUAAGACGUGCAAGUCGGACGAGAUUUUUCGUUGUAGCAAUACGAUGGAAAGUCUAGUGGCGAACGGGUGCUUAACACGUGGACAACCUGCCGAGAAGUGGGGGAUAGCUCGCCGAAAGGCGAAUUAAUACCGCAUGUGAUCAGAGUGGACAUCCAUUCAAAAUUAAAGUCGGGGCAACCUGACGCUUCUUGUGGGGCCCGCGGCCUAUCAGCUUGUUGGUGAGGUAACGGCUCACCAAGGCUUUGACGGGUAGCUGGUCUGAGAGGACGACCAGCCACACUGGGACUGAGACACGGCCCAGACACCUACGGGUGGCAGCAGUCGAGAAUUUUUCUCAAUGGGGGAAACCCUGAAGGAGCGACGCCGCGUGGAGGAUGAAGGUCUUCGGAUUGUAAACUCCUGUCAUUGGGGAACAAGGUGCAUACGUUAACUGCGUGUGCAUUGAUAGUACCCGAAGAGGAAGAGACGGCUAACUCUGUGCCAGCAGCCGCAGUAAAAC
rnacentral:rRNA from 1 species